UACGGAGGGUGCAAGCGUUAUCCGGAUUCACUGGGUUUAAAGGGUGCGUAGGUGGGUUUGUAAGUCAGUGGUGAAAUCUCCGAGCUUAACUCGGAAACUGCCAUUGAUACUAUAGAUCUUGAAUUAUCUGGAGGUUAGCGGAAUAUGUCAUGUAGCGGUGAAAUGCUUAGAUAUGACAUAGAACACCGAUUGCGAAGGCAGCUGACUACAGGUAUAUUGACACUGAGGCACGAAAGCGUGGGAUCAAACAGG
rnacentral:rRNA from 1 species